AAGCAGGACAUAUAGAGGGGAAAAAACAACAUCGACAGACAUCAUGAGCAAAUGAGCGAAUCCCAUAAAAAGCAUUCAAGAUCACAAACAAAUACACUGCUCAUGAAUAAUCUCAAAUACACCAUCUAAAGUUCUAAGUCAAGUGUGAGACAAAACAUCUAAUCUUUUCCCGGAAGUUCUACAACCUGAGAGGUAACAAAACUAGGAAGAUGCCAACUAUGGUUGGAGAUAUUUCGAUCCUAAUAUUGCUUCCGCUACUUCAAGGUUAGGUUUCUAGUAACUAAGCUUUUCUUCAAUUCAUUUUAGAUUAUAUUUAUAUCUAACAAUAGCAUCAUGAUUGUGGUGGAAUACAAGAAAGGAGCAUACUAGGAAUUAUUACAUUAUGAAAAAUGAAGAUAAAUGCUACAUUCCUUUUAAAAAUCAACAAAAUUACAACUUU